GUACCCAAAAAAGAGUUGCCUCUUCCUUCAAUUCCCAGUCUUCUCCGCUUCUUCCUUUCAAGACCGGAGAAAGAAGAAAUUUUCGACUUGAGAUCGUCUGACCGGUGUAGAGAUGUCGGUGACCACGGAUGAGGACGUCGGUGGGGUUGCGACGGGUGAAGCUCCAUUGGUGUACGGAAACAACGACAAAGAAGAAACGACAGGAGCGAAGAAGAGAUGUAGGGCUGCGCAGCAAAACAAGGAGAGUAAGCGGGCUGCAGGGAUUGGCUGCAGUGAUGUAGGCUCUACAUUUGCACUGGAUCACACUAGUCAGUUCACCACGACUGAGAUAUUCAAGAGCAGACAAUAUUUAAUAGAAUGGGCUUCGCGUGUUGGGAGGUCGAAUGGUUUCAGUAUUGUGACAUUAAGUUCUGACGUUGGUAAAAGCAAUAGAAGAGCAACAAUUACAUUGGGUUGUGAAAGGAGUGGAAAAUAUGAUAGACGAACUCCCAAGGAAGGGAAGAAGAAAAAUUGUGGAAAGAAGUGUGGUUGUCCAUUCAAGCUAAAGGGCAGAAAGCUAGAAACUAAUGAUGAUUGGGAGUUGAAGGUUGUUGAAGGAAUCCAUAACCAUGCAGCCUGGUACUCAAAGGCAGAUAUUUCAGUUUCUAGUAGAUUACCUUCAGAGGACAAAUCAAGGGGGAAGGAUGUGUUUAAGGACGAUAUAAGUGAGAGUGGGUCUGAAAUGCAAUCAUUGAUGAUUAAGUUGUCCAAGUACAACUACAUUGAACAACAUAGGAGCUGCCCACAGACCAAAACUAUCUUAGAUUUUUUCUUGACACACCUCUCUAGCUUUAAAUUAUUGCGUGCAUUUGCACGUGUUUUGGAGGUGGAAUGCAUAUCAAAGCAGGAGGGAAUUCAUGAUGGGGCAAUUUUAAUGAUUUUUGGACGCACAUCAACUGAUAUACCAUUUUUUGUGGGUAUUGUAUUCCUUUCUUCUAAUAAAAAAGAAAGUUAUGUAUGGGCUUUACGAACAUUGCAGGGUUUGAUGGUUACUAGUGGUAAUACUAUGCCUGAUAUGAUUGUGUUAAUAACUACGGAGGUGGCUUUGAUGGAAGCCGUUGAGGUUGUUUUUAGUAGGACAAAGCUUUUGUUGUGUGCGUGGGCCUUUCCUAGCUUUGUGGGAUUUGCUUAUGAGGAGGUAUUUGACUCGAAGGAGGAGUUAGAUUAUUUUCUGAAGAGGUUGGAUGUAUUGAUAUCAUCUCCCACUGCAGCUAAUUUUGAGUUGCAGUUACUGCAACUACAUGAUGACUUUAGCAGAUAUCCUGCAGUACUUGAGUACGUAACCCACACUUGGUUGAACCCGCAUAAGGAAAAGCUUGUUGCAGCAUGGACAAAUGCUUUUAUGCAUUUUGGGGUCGCAAAUUCGUUCAGGGAGGAUACAAAACUUCAAGAAAUAUUAGGAAAUCUGAUUGAGAAUUUAACUGUGCCUGUAAAGAAUCAAAUUCUUAAGUUGGAGGAAUCAUUUGAAGAGAUACAUGCUGGGCUUGAAUUGCAGGAGACCAAAAUCAAUGCUUCACUGGAAAGCUGUUUAACAGUGAAUGCAGAUGAGUUUAGGCUUCCAGAAUUCAAAGAGCUUUGUGGGGCUAUUUCUCUUACCGCAUUGGAUCUGGUCCUGCAGCAGAUGAUGUUGGUCAAUAUAGUUGAUGGUGAUCUCUGCCAUUGUGCCAUACGCAAUACCCAUGGGUUACCAUGUGCUCAUGAGCUUGCAAAAUACAAGAAAGGUGAUAGACUUAUUCCAUUGGACUGUAUCGAUCCUUAUUGGAUGAAGCUUGACACGAAACCUUUAGGAAAGAAUGCAGUGUGGUGUGGAAGAGAGUAUGAAGCUGCUUAAGUUGUUUAUGGAAAUCCACCUUUGCCUAAGAUUGGGGGAUCUGCACAAUGCAAUACACCUACAGUGCAUUUCAAAGAAGAGAGACAAUCAGAGCGCUUGAAGUUCGACGCUUGGUAUUAUCUGCCCAGUUCAAAGCCGAAGAAUAUUGCUUAUCGGGUCUUGUGCUUCAUAUGUGAAGAACAUACGGUUCUUACCAAGACGACGACGAAUCGGUACUUUCAGGUGAACCGGCGUUAUCAAGUCCCCGACCAAGCGACUCCCCCCCAAGUUGUGCUUGGCCUUGGGAGUAAAGGUCCUCUGAUCAGGAAGAGCCCAACUUCCUGUAAAACUUGGAAAAUCAUGUGGUUUGCUUCUGGCCCAUAGGAUGCCUAUUCUUCUGAGCAACCCCCAAUGCAAAAAGACAAUAGAAGCAUCCUCCUGAUUUCAAAAUAGCAAACAUAACAGCUGGCAGGGAACCACAUUUGCAUCUUAUCUCGAGCAGUCUGCGCUGUUCCUCAGGAGAUUUACAACUAAACGUGUUCACCACCAAGUGCUAUGGAAAAAGGCGGGACAAGAAAGAGGCCACGACCUUCCAACCCAUCACACAACCAAUUAAGAUCUUUUGCUCGCAGGAGGUUUAACUCUGGCACGGGUCCAACCAGCCCCACAAAAGCUUUCCAUGGAGGGCCUGGCCAGGUACCUUUUCAGGCUGUAUCACCACAUGGGAAAGCUAAGAAUGCUCGUACAGAAGAAAAAGAUCAUGAGUUCCAAAAGAGCUCCCCUUUGCACCCACAGCCCAGUGAAACUGAGGAGACCUCUGAAUAUUUGAGGGAUUUCCAGGAAAUCAGUGACAAGCAUAAGUCCUUGCCAGUUGAGCUCUGUCAAAAAUCUGUCUCCAUGAACCUGAAUGCAGUCUACUGUCAGCAUGCCGCAAUGGAAUAUCUAGAAAGAGUACAUUAUGAGUUGAGUGGGCUUAGGAUUGAGAAAAAGAUGCUUCAAGAUAGCAAUUUGAAGUUGGAAAAUGAUCUUUUGACCGAGAAAUCUGAGGCGCGUGAGGCAAAGGCUCAAAUUGAAUUGGAAAUGAUAAAGGAGAGAAAAAGAGCUGAAGAGGAGAAGGUCCGAGCGGACACUCUUGUGGCUCAAAUUGAAAAACUGUUUGUAGAGCUUCAAAAAGCCAAGGCAGCCCUAGAAGAGGAGAAAGAAAAAGUCUCUAAGCUGUCUGAAGGAAUACCAGCUCUUGAGGUUGCUUCUGUUCAAGCUUUCAAGGAGUCGAAGGAGUUCACCAACUUAAUGUUUGAGCAAUUUGCCAGAGGUUAUGAUGAUUGCAGAACAGUGAUAGAGGAACACAAUUUUCGGCUAGAUCUGAGCUGGAUGGACGUGGAAGAUGUCACAAAUGAGAGAAUUCUUUCUUGAGCGGGUGCAGGUUUAUGGCAUCAGGUGGGCAGUGUGGAAAUCCCUUCAUUUGUUAAAGCUUGAGAAAACAUUGUCUUAAGGCCUUACUGGAAAACUCCUUCGGCCAUCUUCAGCUGUUUUCAGGUCAUCUUACCUAUCCUUGACAGCAGAAUGUCCGUUCCUGAGGAGUUUAGAUAUUAACUUUAAAACCUUUGUAUGCUGACUUGCAUUGAAGAUACAGUUUUCUGCUGUGACUUAGUUGUUAUUCAAGAUGAAUGAAUUAGAUAAUGUAGGUGUUGAUCAUACUCUUUGGUGUUUCAAAUUAGUGAAGAGCAUUCUGUGAAUUAAUAUGUCAAUAUUACUUGUUGUGGAUCAUAGAGGCUUUGCCCUGCCUGUCUUGAUGAUGAAAUAAUAAAUGUAUCUCAGAUUUUCCAUGCAAUGUUCUCUUUAUUUUUCUGGAAGGCUAA